GGGGUGCCCAGCCGGGAGGCAGGCCUCUAGGAGAAGAAUUGUCCUUAGCAAGUGGCCUGUAAACAACUCCUUGCGGGCCUCUCUCCCAGAUGGAGCACGGGGGAAAAUCUCCACGGAGCAGAUGAGAGACUGAGUCCUGGAGAGGAGGCGCUUGUCCAGGUCACGCGGUUCCCCCAGGGAUCUCUCCUGUGGGCAUUUGCUGUCACUUGUGCUCACACGCCCGCCCGCUCAAAUCCCGCCGCCCUGGUGCUCCCGGAGCUGUGUGCCACCUGCCAGCCAUUUGAGGACAUCUCCUCCACUGCUCAGCCACCAAUGUCCUCUGAAAAUUCAAGACUCCCUGAGCCCACGUGGUGCCAGAGGCAUCUGAAUUCCCUGCAAAAGCGGGAAGAGCAUCUCCUCUGUCGUCAGAGAGCUCGGACCAGAGUUCAAGGGUAGAGCUGGAAACACACCCGUGCUUUCUUCCUCCUCUUCCCAGGUGCCACCCCGAGCCGUUCCCGCAAGGCUGUCAGCCCAGAAAAGAAGCUGAGCUGAAAUA